GCGCCCGUAGUUCAAGUGGAUAGAACGUCUGACUACGGAUCAGAAGGUUGGGGGUUCGAGUCCCUCCGGGCGCACUA
rnacentral:tRNA from 2 species